AUAUAAGUCUUUUUAGACAUUACACUACAAACUACAUAUGGAUGUAUAUAGACAUAUUUUGGGUGGAUGAAGAUCAACUCUGACGUGGUCUCCAGGGCAGGAACAAAUGGUGAAGGGGGAACCGUCUUCCGGGACCAUCAGGCAACUUUUGUGGCUGGGGCUAGCCAGUUCUUUCUGUUGAUCCCGAGGCGGUCGAAGCGCUGUCGUGCAGGAAAGCAAUUCAAAUGAUGAUUGACUUGAAUAUCCCAUGCGCGCAUUUGGAACUGGACUGCAAGAUACUAGUAGCAAAGAUUAACAGUCCAGGUUUGAACUUGUCUGCCAUUGGGCCUUGGGUACAGGAGAUCAAGACCAUGCUUACUUCCUUCAUGGAGUUCAAGGUCACUUGGAUUGGGCGUUCGGGAAAUAUGGUGGCGUAUAAGCUAGCUAAAGUAGGGGUAGGCGAGCACCGUAAGAAAUUUUGGAUGGAUUUCCCACCGGACUUUCUGCUUUCCGUAAUUUCAGACGAGAUUCCUAGCUAUGGUUGAAUAAAACGCCGUAUUUCCCCUAAAAAAAUAUAGACAUAUUUUAGAUUAUAAAUUUAUUUAUUUUGUUUCU